UACGUAGGGGGCUAGCGUUGUCCGGAAUCAUUGGGCGUAAAGAGCGUGUAGGCGGCUCGGUAAGUCCGCUGUGAAAGUCCAGGGCUCAACCCUGGAAUGCCAGUGGAAACUGUCGAGCUAGAGUCCGGAAGAGGCGAGUGGAAUUCCUGGUGUAGCGGUGAAAUGCGCAGAUAUCAGGAGGAACACCAAUGGCGAAGGCAGCUCGCUGGGACGGUACUGACGCUGAGGCGCGAAAGCAUGGGGAGCGAACGGG
rnacentral:rRNA from 1 species